rnacentral:snoRNA from 1 species
AAAAGACCAAAUAAUCCCAUUUAGAAGUUGACAUAAUGGCUGCAAACAGCAGCUUCCCUGGUAGUGAUGCAGCCUGUUUGUUGUAUGGGUUGCUCUAAGGGACCUUGGAGACAGUC